rnacentral:rRNA from 1 species
GACGAACGCUGGCGGCGUGCUUAACACAUGCAAGUCGAGCGGUAAGGCCCUUUCGGGGGUACACGAGCGGCGAACGGGUGAGUAACACGUGGGUGACCUGCCCUCAGCUCUGGGAUAAGCCUGGGAAACCGGGUCUAAUACCGGAUAUGACUCCAUGACGCAUGUUGUGGGGUGGAAAGCCUUGUGCGGCUGAGGAUGGGGCCCGCGGCCUAUCAGCUUGUUGGUGGGGUGAUGGCCUACCAAGGCGACGACGGGUAGCCGGCCUGAGAGGGCGACCGGCCACACUGGGGACUGAGACACGGCCCAGACUCCUACGGGAGGCAGCAGUGGGGAAUCUUGCGCAAUGGGCGAAAGCCUGACGCAGCGACGCCGCGUGAGGGAGGAAAUCCUUCGGGAUGUAAACCUCACAAGCAAGGGAAGAGAGCUCAGGGCCGAAUAAGCUUUGAGUCCGACGGUACCUUGCGUAAGCCACGGCUAAC